GAUGAACGCUGGCGGCGUGCCUAAUACAUGCAAGUCGAGCGAACGGACGAGAAGCUUGCUUUUCUGAUGUUAGCGGCGGACGGGUGAGUAACACGUGGAUAACCUACCUAUAAGACUGGGAUAACUUCGGGAAACCGGAGCUAAUACCGGAUAAUAUUUUGAACCGCAUGGUUCAAAAGUGAAAGACGGUCUUUCUGUCACUUAUAGAUGGAUCCGCGCUGCAUUAGCUAGUUGUUAAGGUAACGGCUUACCAAGGCAACGAUGCAUAGCCGACCUGAGAGGGUGAUCGGACACACUGGAACUGAGACACGGUCCAGACUCCUACGGGAGGCAGCAGUAGGGAAUCUUCCGCAAUGGGCGAAAGCCUGACGGAGCAACGCCGCGUGAGUGAUGAAGGUCUUCGGAUCGUAAAACUCUGUUAUUAGGGAAGAACAUAUGUGUAAGUAACUGUGCACAUCUUGACGGCACCUAAUCAGAAAGCCACGGCUAACUACGUG
rnacentral:rRNA from 1 species